rnacentral:rRNA from 1 species
GUGCCUAAUACAUGCAAGUCGAGCGAGCUUGCCUAGAUGAUUUUAGUGCUUGCACUAAAUGAAACUAGAUACAAGCGAGCGGCGGACGGGUGAGUAACACGUGGGUAACCUGCCCAAGAGACUGGGAUAACACCUGGAAACAGAUGCUAAUACCGGAUAACAACACUAGACGCAUGUCUAGAGUUUGAAAGAUGGUUCUGCUAUCACUCUUGGAUGGACCUGCGGUGCAUUAGCUAGUUGGUAAGGUAACGGCUUACCAAGGCAAUGAUGCAUAGCCGAGUUGAGAGACUGAUCGGCCACAUUGGGACUGAGACACGGCCCAAACUCCUACGGGAGGCAGCAGUAGGGAAUCUUCCACAAUGGACGAAAGUCUGAUGGAGCAACGCCGCGUGAGUGAAGAAGGGUUUCGGCUCGUAAAGCUCUGUUGGUAGUGAAGAAAGAUAGAGGUAGUAACUGGCCUUUAUUUGACGGUAAUUACUUAGAAAGUCACGGCUAACUACGUGCCAGCAGCCGCGGUAAUACGUAGGUGGCAAGCGUUGUCCGGAUUUAUUGGGCGUAAAGCGAGUGCAGGCGGUUCAAUAAGUCUGAUGUGAAAGCCUUCGGCUCAACCGGAGAAUUGCAUCAGAAACUGUUGAACUUGAGUGCAGAAGAGGAGAGUG